rnacentral:misc_RNA from 1 species
AAAGUCGUAACAAGGUUUCCGUAGGUGAACCUGCGGAAGGAUCAUUAACACGUAUCCACGUAUCACCACUCUGUGAACUUAAUCUGUCAAAAGAAAAGUUGUCAAUAUGGUUAGUGAUUGGUGUAUAGCCUUAAAAACUAUAUGCGAUCAUAUUGACUAGGGCUUCGAGCCUAGUGCUUUCUUUUGGCAUCAUCCCUAUCACUUAACAAACCACUUUAACUAUAACUCAUCUUGACUGAUGUACUUAUGUAAGAGAAAUCUGGCAUGAGUCUUUAUCUAAACUAAGCACAACUCUUAGCAAUGGAUAUCUUGGUUCUC